rnacentral:lncRNA from 13 species
GCUCCCUCGCCACCCUGUACCUGCCUUUCCGUAUUUCCCCUUCCCCCAGAGUGUCAUCUUUCCACAGGGGUCACUUAUUUACAUUGUGGAAAAACCGUAGGAACAUCUGUUCAAGG